UGGGGAAUAUUGGACAAUGGGCGAAAGCCUGAUCCAGCCAUGCCGCGUGAAGGAUGAAGUAUUUCGGUAUGUAAACUUCGAAAGAAUAGGAAGAAUCAAUGACGGUACUAUUUAUAAGGUCCGGCUAACUACGUGCCAGCAGCCGCGGUAAUACGUAGGGACCAAGCGUUGUUCGGAUUUACUGGGCGUAAAGGGCGCGUAGGCGGCGCGGUAAGUCACUUGUGAAAUCUCCGGGCUUAACUCGGAACGGUCAGAUGAUACUGCUUUGCUAGAGUGCAGAAGGGGCAAUCGGAAUUCUUGGUGUAGCGGUGAAAUGCGUAGAUAUCAAGAGGAACACCUGAGGUGAAGACGGGUUGCUGGGCUGACACUGACGCUGAGGCGCGAAAGCCAGGGGAGCAAACGGGAUUAGAUACCCCCGUAGUCCCUGAGCGGGCUGGCAAGGCGCAU
rnacentral:rRNA from 1 species